GGUGAAGUCUGAGGCUCGGAGCGGGGCGCGAAAUGGCGGCCGCUGUGUGGAGGCUGAGGGUUGCGGCAGCCUGCAGGCUGGGAGGCGGCGCGGGGAAGGUGACGUGUGGCUUGGUGCUGGUAAGGUCUUUGUGGUUUGUGGGAGGGCAGCUGUGGGAGCACGCUGCUCACGUGGUGAAUCCUUGAAACACCGUCUUUUGGGAUUUCUUUCGGUGGCAAAAUUAGCCGCUAUUACAUUGUUUGCACAGCUGGGGAUAAACAGUUGUUUGUUCAGUCUUUGAAAGCUCAGUGUUGCUCUGUUAAAUUUAGUAGCGUGUGAGUCAUGGCAUCAACUGUGGAGUGGAUGUGUGCCACGUUCUCCACAUGGAACAAUGCAACAGUUUGCAAUGUGUUGGUGGCUGCAAUAGCAAAAGUGGGGCUUCCUUGAUCAGUGCCCGCAUGUCAUGUACAGUAAUGGAAGAUGAACAUUGAUUCUGUGAGGAAUUAGGUCUGUUGAGUUGGGUUUUUUGUUGUUGUUGUUGUUGUUGUUGUUUUGUUUUUCCCUCUAUUCUGGCUGAAUAAUGAGAAUAAAUCACCAUUACUCAUAGGGAAUCAUACUUUGGCUUUAAAAAAAUCAAACAAAUCAUUCAUAUAAUUGUGUCACGUCUGCCUAGCAACACCUGCAGCCUUUUCUGGGUGCUCCAGAAACAUCCAUGAAGAACCUGAUGAAUCCCUUCCAACAGUUUCUAUUUAACCCAUACAACAAAGUAACAAUUUCUGAUAUAGACCCGCAGUAUUCAUUGAUUAUAUUCAUUAUAGUCAUUAUUGAUACAAUAUCUGUCAAAAAUGGAGCGCUCUGCACUCCCUUAUGAAGCAUGAAUGACAUACUACACUGUCGUGUCAUAAAUGAUUCAGGACAUUCAUGCCACUUCAUAAUGUCAGUUCUUAUGUUUCUAACGCUGCAUUUAUAGAUAGUUUGUAAAUGUCCCCUAACAACUCUGCUAUAUUGAAGUGCAUCCCUCUUGUCCCAACUGAAACUAAACACUUCUGUGAGAGUUAUGUUAUAGAUCUCAGAUCUAAACCUUAAACAUCUGUGUUUGUUGGUUUUUUUGUUAGUUUUUCAUCAAAAAUUCUAAUUAAUUUGAAAACUCUAAACCCUAGUUGUCCUUAGAAAGUUUUCUACUAUAAGCUUUAGGCUUCCUAUAUAAACUAAUGUUCCUAGUUUACUCAGAGGCAGGCAACUGUGGAUGUUAUAUAAUCAUUAUGUACUAACUAAGCAAAAUUGUUCUAUUUGCAAUUUUUUAUUGGAAAGUUAGGUUUCUUAUUUAAUUUGCAAUGGAGUGAACUUAAAACAUGCUGUGUACGUUACAUGUUAUAUAUAUAUAUAUAUAUAUAUAGUAUUGCACUGUAGCCCUAAGUAGAUGGAAUAGGUCUAGUCUGUAAGAUCUGAAUUCUGGAAAAAGAAAAAAAACAGAACUCAAAUUGUUUUGUAUCAUAUGAACUAAUUCUUCAUUCAAAACAACUAAGAUAUGUACUGUUGAAAGCUGCUGGUGUAUAGUGUUUAGCAUGAUAUUGUUUUAAUUAGUGAAUUGCAGUGGAAUACAUCUGUGAUAGCUACUCCUCACCUAGUAGGUUACACAGCACAGGAAGAUGUAGUUAAUGAGUCGUGUUGGACUCGUGAGCUGGCAGCAAAGCCUGCAGAGCUCUGUGAGGCAGAAGGCUGGAUUGAAGGCGAAUAUUGUCUGUAACUUUGGAAUUAAAUCAUAAAUCUGUACCACAGAAAAUUCAGCAACAUUCUGUCAGGUAGCAGCGGGGGUGCAAAGAGCUCUGCACUCUGGGCUGGGUGUUCUUUCCUGGGCCUUUCAAACAGGCGUUUUCAUUUUCAUGCGUACAAAGUUUACAUAUACCUCUGUUGUGUCAGAAACACAGUGUGCUAACAGUGUAAACAAAGUAAGGUUGUAGGAGCAGGUGCUGUCCUUUGUUAGAGUAGUUAGUGUUGUGUGAAAAACAGAACCUUUCUGGCUUGUAGCUCUUUCCUCACAUGGCCUUCAGAAAUGCAUGCCUCUGUUUCCCAGCUAUAAUAGUUUUGUAGGAGGUAUUUCUCCCUAAAAUCCUCAUCAUGUUCAACUGGAGACAUGAUAUUGCAGAACUCGCAGAGGUUUCCCAUGAAGCUGUUGCCAGACUUGAUGUCAUAGGAAAGUAAGAGUAGCACAGGUAGAUUUGGGCCAGAAUAAAUUAGCUAUCCUGUUUUAUUUCAUAUUCUUUGUACUCAUUCUAAAGCAUGCCAUUGAUACUUAAAUAAAACUGAUUUUUCUUGCUUCAGCUAAGUCAGAAUACCAAGAAGGAGGGAAUCUGUCAUGCUUGGAAGAAGACACAUUGUGAAAGCAGUAUUGCUGUGAACACAUAAAGUAAUCUUUUAAUAGUUAAUGAAUAGCUAAUGUCGUAGCCUGGAUCCAACUAGGCUGCAGGUGAGAGCAAGACAUGCAGAGGCAUGUCAGCAUUCUGUGGUAUUAAACAUCAACAGAGGCUCGAUUUAGGAUGAAAAAACACAGGCAUGGGGAAAUCCAACUGAAAUACACCAUUUAUUCAAAACCAGCAGGCAGGCAACUUCUCAAAAGCCAACAGCUCCAUUUGACGCCUAUCCAAGAAGAUUUUUCCAUAGAUAUGGGAUUUCUCAAUAAAAAGACCACUGGAACACUCAACAGGUAAAUGUUCCGCGGGUUGCCCAUCAACACUAAGCUGCCUGAAAAGGUAUCUCUGUGUCCUCCUUCAUUUAUGCUUUUUCAGGCUUGCACACAAAAAGUUUAUGAAAGAAAUUCCCUGCCUUCUGUAACCAGUGAUGUAAAGCCCAGGUGACGGCCUCCUUUUAUAGAGGCCAGCCGUGUCACCAAGCAGGCAGCUCAUUAACUCAGCUCUACCAACAGUGCAUUCUGUUCUUCAAAAAAAUUAAUGGCUGUGCCACAGCAUCCCCCAACUCUUUAAUACAUCUGAUCUCUAAAGCAGACAGCACCAUGCAGAAACAAAAUGGUGUCUUUCACAAUUCUUCGUACGUUUAGAAGCUUUGCAAAAGUACAUCCGUGAACACAACAGAAGACGAGAGGCAAGUAAGUUUAAGCAUACUUUAUUAACUUCAAGCAAUAGCCACUUCCCAACGUUCUGCACAGUUACAAUCUGACACAUGCUGUAGAAGAUUGCUCUAUCUCCAGUAGUCUCACAGACUGGUCUGCCUUCUGUGUACAGGUCAAUAUACAUAUAAAGGUUCUUCAGAGGUUUAUUGCCACUUACCCUAUGUAUGGAGAUAAAGUAUUAUUAAAAAUAUUCUACAGGAAUCAUUAUAUUCAAUCAAAGGCUUUUGAACAGUUCCUAUUCUUUUUAAUUAAAGCAGUAUACAUCAUAGUAAUAAAAAGACAAUCUAACUGCAUAUUUAAUUUGUUUCAGUGCAAAAAGAAGAGAAAAAAAAAAAAGAGCAUUUAAUCUCCCAAGGGGUUUGA